rnacentral:rRNA from 1 species
CCUACGGGAGGCAGCAGUGGGGAAUAUUGGACAAUGGGGGAAACCCUGAUCCAGCGACGCCGCGUGAGUGAAGAAGUCUUUCGGUACGUAAAGCUCUAUCAGCAGGGAAGAAAAUGACGGUACGUGACUAAGAAGCCCCGGCUAACUAAGUGCCAGCAGCCGCGGUAAUACGUAGGGGGCAAGCGGUAUGCGGAUUUAUUGGGUGUAAAGGGAGCGUAGCCGGCGGCGAAAGGCUGGAGGGAAAGGCCGGGGCCCAACCCCGGAACUGCUCUGGAAACUGGGAAGCUGGAGUGCGGGAGAGGUAAGCGGAAUUCGUGGUGUAGCGGUGAAAGGCGUAGAUAUCAGGCGGAACCCCGGCGGCGAAGGCGGCUUACUGGACUGUAACUGACGUUGAGGCUCGAAGGCGUGGGGAGCAAACAGGAUUAGAUACCCUUGUAGUC